CCUACGGGAGGCUGCAGUAGGGAAUAUUGCUCAAUGGGGGAAACCCUGAAGCAGCAACGCCGCGUGGAGGAUGAAGGUUUUCGGAUUGUAAACUCCUUUUGUUAGAGAAGAUAAUGACGGUAUCUAACGAAUAAGCACCUGCUAACUCCGUGCCAGCAGCCGCGGUAAUACGGAGGGUGCAAGCGUUACUCGGAAUCCCUGGGCGGAAAGAGCGCGUAGGCGGGAUAGCAAGUCAGAUGUGAAAUCCUAUGGCUUAACCAUAGAACUGCAUUUGAAACUGUUAUUCUAGAGUAUGGGAGAGGUAGGUGGAAUGCUUGGUGUAGGGGUAAAAUCCGUAGAGAUCAAGAGGAAUACUCAUUGCGAAGGCGACCUGCUAGAACAUAACUGACGCUGAUGCGCGAAAGCGUGGGGAGCAAACAGGAUUAGAUACCCCAGUAGUC
rnacentral:rRNA from 1 species